rnacentral:rRNA from 1 species
UACGUAGGGUGCGAGCGUUAAUCGGAAUUACUGGGCGUAAAGGGUGCGCAGGAGGCCGAGCAAGUCGAGUGUGAAAGCCCCGAGCUUAACUUGGGAACUGCGCUCGAAACUACUUGGCUGGAGUGUGGCAGAGGAAGGUGGAAUUCCACGUGUAGCGGUGAAAUGCGUAGAGAUGUGGAGGAACACCGAUGGCGAAGGCAGCCUUCUGGGCCAACACUGACGCUCAUGCACGAAAGCGUGGGGAGCAAACAGG